rnacentral:rRNA from 1 species
AUACGUAGGGGGCAAGCGUUGUCCGGAAUUAUUGGGCGUAAAGCGCGCGCAGGCGGCGGCUUAAGUUUGGUGUAACAGCCCGGGACUCAACUCCGGGAAGCACUGAAAACUGGGCGGCUAGAGUGCAGGAGAGGAAAGUGGAAUUCCACGUGUAGCGGUGAAAUGCGUAGAGAUGUGGAGGAACACCAGUGGCGAAGGCGGCUUUCUGGCCUGUAACUGACGCUGAGGCGCAAAAGCGUGGGUAGCGAACAGGAUUAGAUACCCUGGUAGUCCACGCCGUAAACGAUGAAUGCUAGGUGUUAGGGGUUUCGAUACCCUUGGUGCCGAAGUUAACACAGUAAGCAUUCCGCCUGGGGAGUACGGUCGCAAGACUGAA